CUUAGCACCUCAACAUAUCAAUUUUGGGGAAAUACAAUUCAGUUCACAGUGCAUAGAUAGAUAUUAAUUGAUAUUAUCAAAAGAAACCAUGGGCAGAUAAACCCAAAACCAAACUGUUUUAAUGGUUAUCUAUUGGGAAGAAAAAGAAACAGGGUGAACGGGAAGUUACAGAAGCAAGAUUUCUGUGACUGUAACUGGAUAAAUAGAGAGUUUGGGAGGACGAUAAGUGUUUUAUGUGAUUUUUAAAAAUUAAAGUAAACUGAAAUGAAUGAGUCUUCCUGCAUAUAAAGUGUGUGGCAUAACCACAUAAAGCAAACAAUUACUUAAAGUGGCUUUAAAACGCAGCAUUUUGACUAUACAUCCCAAGUGAGAGAUAUGCUAUGGACAAUAAAAAAAAGGAAAAGAAAAAAGGAAAGAAAUCAUAAAUGGCAUUCAGUAGCCAUAUAUUAGUAUUGACAUUUUUAUUAAAUUACUAUGUUUCCAUCAUUAGGAACCAUAAUUUUCAGUAUAAAAAUGACAUAGCAUAAAAUCAAGGAAGUUUAAGUAAAAAUCUUGUAAUCUUAAAAGUGAAUUGGAAAUUGCAGUAUGAACUCACAUUGUGUUUUACUCUUUAAAAAAUACAUAUUUUCUAGUUCUGUCCACUGAAAAGACCCAGAAGCAAUGAAAACCCAGUAACAAUGAGCACACUUCCACGGCUGAACUCUCUAGAUAACAUUUACCAAUGAAAUUGGCUGAUUCUAAGUCUAGGGCAAAAAAUGUACAAAAGGAGACUGGAUACAAGUCUCUUAUUGUACCAGAAAGUGAAGGAGAAAUCAAAGACUAAUGAGGUCACGUUAAAGUGAUACAGGACGACACAGGGCCUGCCUGCAGCAGCUGGUCAAUAAUGAAGGGAUUAAUCCAUGACUGCAAGACUCGUGGGAAGGAGGGAGUGGGGACUGCAGGGAGGGUCCUAGUAAAAGCAGGGUGGGCCUCGAUGAGCACAGCAUGGACAGUGCGAUUUAAAUCCCAUCGCUUGUGGGCAGGAGGAGUGAGGAUGCCAGAACCUAGUUAUCCCCCACCAUCCCACGCUCUCCCAGGAGGCGGCGGCAGGAAGUGCAGUCUACAGUAAGGGAAAGCCGCCGGAGCUGGAGACAGGCUGGAAAGAGCAGGUAACAGCCCACAAGGAGCGGGGGCCCUGGCUGUCAGACUCAACUUGCAGGACCAUCAAGUGCAGGUGUGGUUCAAGAACCGGGGCCGCUUGCUCUGCGGUAGCAACGGCACAUAACCGCAGCGAUGACCAGGGCAGCCAAGCCAGCAGCCGGGACCCCGGGAUGCUCUUGGCACAUGAUCCGACUCCCCUGCCUUUGCGGGUCCUGUACUCCCGCGAGGUCCAGGAUUGUGCAGCCCCUCCCCAACCGGCCGUUGGGAAUCUUCGCAGCAGCAGAACCCGCUGCCUCCAGGUCCGACCAGACCUGCAUAGGUAGAGAGUCCCCGCACAGGGCGGCCAGCAGAGCUACCCAGCUGCCCCAGGGCCUCGGGACCCCUGGGCCUGGGACCCAGGCCAGACCCUGACUCAUUCGGUGAUCUCACAGGACUCCUCCCACCCCAAGACCCUUUCAGGGACCCUGCCUCGAACUCCACGACAUGGGAGGCAGGGGCGGGCCUUUUGCAGGGGAAGGACUCCCCCAGCAGGACGUUUACUGAAUCUGGAGGGAGUCGCCCUGCAGAUAUCCCGCGGAAGCCGGAGGAGACCCAGCAAUUCCAUUUUGGAAAAUUUAUCCUGAGGAAAUAAAUAAAGAUGUAAACAGAGAAUAACUUACAGAUGUGACGUUUGUGAUCGUUAAAACUGGAAACAGCGCAAGAGUGGACGAUAGGGGAUGAGAGAGCCACACAGCGCAUAGAAGAUGAUCAGUCUGAAGAGAGGGUUUUCAGACAUGCAAUUAACUGCUAUUCACUGUACUUCAUUUUAACUGCAAACUAGCAGUCUCUUUCCCCAGGAAAAAAGAGGUCAACUCGGAGGAGCCAGGGAUUCAGCCCACUCUGGACAACACUCAGAGCCAUGGCACCUACCUGUAUGAAAAAAAAUUGUUAAGCAGCUGCCACUCCUAGUUACUGGCCUCUGCUCGGUGACUGAUGCACUUCUAACAUCCUUGUCCCAGGAUAAAGACCUUGUAAUGGAGAAAAAAGAUGGCAGGGAUCCUUUCCAUGGAAUUUCGGCUGUUGUCUAGUGGACCUUCCAGGAAUUGUCUGAUUCUAUGGGAGUGCGCAACUUUGACUGUUCAGUUGGGCCAAUUGGCAACACUGUAGAGACGGAAACUAACUUGUGGAGGGCUGAGGGUGAUACAGACAUUUUCUGUCCGUGGUAAUGCAAAAGGUGUUCAUAGCAAUGCAAAUGGAUUUUAUCCAAUGGGGGAGAUAAAUAUUUGAACGGGCUCUCUUGUUAAUUACUAGUUAAUCAAAAUAUUUGACAUGUAUUCAUUCUAUAUUUAUAGGGGAGUCAUGAUUCUACCUUUUUGGAAAUGACCCUCUAGCAGUUUUAUUGGUCCUAUGAGAUACACAGUAGAUUCACCAGCCAGAGCCAGAUGAGCUGCACAGUUGCCAAAGGGAACUUCAGAUGCCACCAGAGCCUCAGCUCUGUCCUCCCUCACCUCCCAAGAAAGCCUGGAUCUUUGAGUUGUGUUGAUGGGCAUAUUCGUGUUUGCCACUUGAAGGAGUAAGAGGCCCGCGUGGAUCUGGAGGCAAGUGGCUGUGCCCUCCUGCAAUCUGCUCACCUGCAGAAAUGCUCGCGUAGGGCAGCUCUCAAUUUUCUGCCACCUCCUCAGCUUUUUCUGUGAAACAGAAGUUGGUUACUUUGGAUGAAAAUUAUCUUUCAUAUAGGUGGUUGGUACACGAAGCAAUAGUGACAAAUAAAACUCUGUGUGCGUGCUUCUGUUUUGUCAUGCAAUGAAAAGUAGUUUUGUUCCAGAAUAUGAAUGAACACAGUGAAUGAAGGUCUAAAGAAGUGAAUGUUAUUUGCCUUGGUUUAUAAUACCUGAGUCUGAAAAGAGACAUGAAGUAACUUAGAUCUUAGCAAAGUUUCCUCACUUUUGAUGGGCUUGCCGCCUUGGCUUACUGGUCACCGCCUUCAUCUACAGCAGGGGUCCCCAAUCCCCGGGCUAUGGUCCAGCAACAGUCCAUGGCCUGUUAGGAACCGGGCCACAUAGCAGGAGAUAAGCGGUGGUUACAGCUGCUCCCCAUCACUCACAGUACUGCCUGAGCUCUGCCUUCUGUCACGGUGGCAUGAGAUUCUCACAGGAGUAUGAACCCCUAUUGUAAACUGUGCAUGCAAGGCAUCUAGGUUGUAUGCUCCUUAUGAGAAUCUAAUGCCUGACAAUCUGUCACUCUCUCCCAUCACCCCCAGAUGGGACCAUCUAGUUGCAGGAAAAUAAGCUCAGGCCUCCACUGAUUCUAUAUUAUUGUGAGUUGUAUAAUUAUUUCAUUAUAUAUUACAAUGUAAUAAUAAUAGAAAUAAAGUGUACAAUAAAUGUAAUGUGCUUGAAUCAUCCAGAAACCAUCCCCCCAUCCCAGUCCGUGGAAAAAAUGUCUUCCAUGAAACCGGUUCCGGGCGCCAGAAAGGCUGGGGACCACUGACCUGCAGCACAAAGGCUAUUCUUUACCUUCCUUGUGGUCUGCCUGACAGCAAAAGUGUGUGUCUUGCCAGAAAAAUUUCUGUGCCUUAUGCUGACUUCAUUCAGUCCUUGAGUAUUUAAACAAAACAAUACAAAAACUCACUUGUGAAAGAGAUGAUUCUUUAAACUCAUGUCACCUUCUGUUUACUUUUACAUUUGUUUGCAUUAUUAAAAGAGUAAGCAAGAAUUAUUUCUUCAGCACCCAUGAUAUGCUCUGAGUCAAGUGCCUAAAUCUUCUCUGACAACUCUUUUGAUUUUUCCUUCUAGAGAUCAGAUCCUAAAUAUAGAAAGAGUAAAAGAAAACUUUUUAUCUUGAACUAAAACAUUCUUUGAAACUUCCCAGAGGGCCCCUGGAAAUUCACGAGAUUUGUACUUUCACCCUAUGAAGCAAGAGCAAGAGAGGCCAGAAGUAAUUAUGUUUAUUAUUCUUUAAUCAGCAUCUGAAGAGAUGCUCAGCCUCCCUAGGUUAAGUUUGUAUCAGUAAACUCAUUAUAAAUAGUUCAGACACUGCACACUUUGUAGGAAGGCCCUGAAGCUUUGCCAGUGCCCUCGUCGCCGUCCAUUGUAUGCUUUACCUUUAGUGAGACACUGAUCAAAAUGCUUAUGAAAUAGUUAUUUCCCAGUAGAGAAUCUUACUUUCCUGCGGUUGCUGUAAUAAAUUAACCAACAGUCAACUACCAGUAGUUUUGUAUUUACUCUGAUGUGCACCUGGGACUCUGCUGUAAGCCACUGGUGAGCGGCUGUGCCUUCCACAAGGGGCAGCCUCAGAGGCUCAAGAGGACAUGCAGGGGCUCUAAGCUGAGGAUGCUACAGUGAAUCACCUCGCGGGGACACGCUCCUGAGCGGACCUCACUUAGGCCACCUUCAGAUCAUCCAUCAGACGGAGUCAUGACUUCUAGGCCUCUAAGCUCAGAGCAGAGGCUCCCUAAAAGUUCUCUCUUGACUGGAUCCAGAGAACAGGAAUUAUUACUUAGGAUUGAAUGAGGCAAUUUUGUCUUGGUUAUUUUUUGGAAUAUUGCUGAUGUUGCUUUGAUGUUCUUUCAUUUCUAGAUCUGUGAGGAAGCUCCUU
rnacentral:lncRNA from 1 species